GUAGUAUUAAGAAACUUCCCCUGCUCGGGCAGUGCCCCUUGGAGUUGUCCAGAAAGAUGGCGAAAGAUUUGGAGACAGCGAUAUGAAUGGAGGGUGGAGCCUAAUUCCUGUCCCUUCUAAUGGGAACCAGAUUUAGGGACUCACAUCUCCAGAGGAGAACAUGACAGAUGCCAUAUCGUGGAAGGUACUGUUGAUUCCACCUUGCUCUCUUGAAUCACUUCCUCUGAGGGAGGAGCUGUCAUGUCAGGAGGACACAUGAGCCGCCCAGGGAGGAGCCCGGGUGGAGGGGCACUGAGGCCUCCCUCCAGCAGUCCUGGGAGAGAGCCGUUUGGGAAGCUUCCAAUGACUGCAGCCUCAUUCAACAUCUUGACCGCAGCAUCCUGAGAGGACCUGAACCAGAACUGCCCAGCCCAGGCGGCUCCGAAUCCCUCAUUCACAACCACUGAACAAAUGUCAUGGCUUUGAGAAAGGGAAGAUUGACCGUUGACAUCCAGGAGCUGACCUGGCGCUCCCAUCUGGGCCUUGGUGAUCUCCUACUGAAAUAAACCGUCUCAUGGAACACCCAUGUCAGACCAGGUCACUCUGUGACCACAGUGGAUCAAGACAGAAGUGAGUCUGCUCCAUAAUCAGACCCAUGACAAAACAUGAACAUUCUUCACGCCAGAAAAUACCAAAUAUCUCUGUCUGCUGGCCGGUAUGAAUGCCUGCUGCUUCUGAACCGAAGACAGCUCUAGCCUUGCCUGCCUCAAGAUUAUUAAGAAACCAGAUGAUCGCUACCAAAUCAAGAUGUCAAGUCGCCCCUUAGGGUCGGGGUGGAGGAAUGGGGAAUUAUUGCUUAAUGAGUACGGGGUUUCUGUUUGGGAUGAAGAAAAAGUCUGGGAAAUAGUGGUGAUGGUUACAGAACAUUAUGAAUGUACUUAAUGCCACCAAAUUUAAAACGGUUAAAACACUAAAUUUCAAGAAAUGUAUAUUUUACCACAAUAAAAAAAGAAGAGAAAAAAAAUCAUGUCCCACCUCUGCUCAAAAAUCCUUCGAAGUAUAAUUAACAGCACUGAGUGUGAAUAUGGCUGAAAGGGGAAGUCUAGGGUUGUCACUUGAAGGACAGCUAGAGGCUAAAACAUGGGACUGUAUA